UACGGAGAGUGCGAACGUUGUUCGGAUUCACUGGGCGUAAAGGGCACGUAGGCGGCUCGGCAAAUCGGUCGUGGAAUCCCGACGCUUACCGUCGGAACGGCGGCCGAAAAUACCGGGCUCGAGGGCGUGAGGGGUCACUGGAACAAACGGUGGAGCGGUGAAAUGCGUAGAUAUCGUUUGGAACGCCAAAGGUGAAAACAGGCGACUGGGAAUGUGCUGACACUGAGACACGAAAGCCAGGGGAGCGAACGGG
rnacentral:rRNA from 1 species